ensembl:snRNA U1 U1 spliceosomal RNA
AUACUUACCUGGCAGUGGAGAUACCGAUGAUCACGAAGGUGGUUUUCCCAGUGUGAGACCAGUCCAUUGCACUCCAGAUGUGCUGACCCCUGCCAUUUCGCCAAACGUGGGAAAUUCGACUACGUAAUUUGUGGUAGUGGGAAACUGUAUUUCCGCUUUCCUC